GCAACGCGAAGAACCUUACCAGGUCUUGACAUCCUUUGACCACUCUAGAGAUAGAGCUUUCCCUUCGGGGACAAAGUGACAGGUGGUGCAUGGUUGUCGUCAGCUCGUGUCGUGAGAUGUUGGGUUAAGUCCCGCAACGAGCGCAACCCUUAUUGUUAGUUGCCAUCAUUUAGUUGGGCACUCUAGCGAGACUGCCGGUGACAAACCGGAGGAAGGUGGGGAUGACGUCAAAUCAUCAUGCCCCUUAUGACCUGGGCUACACACGUGCUACAAUGGGAAGUACAACGAGUCGCUAGACCGCGAGGUCAUGCAAAUCUCUUAAAGCUUCUCUCAGUUCGGAUUGCAGGCUGCAACUCGCCUGCAUGAAGCCGGAAUCGCUAGUAAUCGCGGAUCAGCACGCCGCGGUGAAUACGUUCCCGGGCCUUGUACACACCGCCCGUCACACCACGAGAGUUUGUAACACCCGAAGUCGGUGAGGUAACCUUUUUGGAGCCAGCCGCCUAAGGUGGGAUAGAUGAUUGGGGUGAAGUCGUAACAAGGUAGCCGUAUCGGAAGGUGCGGCUGGAUCACCUCCUUU
rnacentral:rRNA from 1 species